CUACAGAUCUCCUGAAAAAUUCGGCUCUCAGAUGGCAUGGAAAAGUCACCUCAAACUAGAAAAUUUUAAAUGUAACUGAAGCUCUCCAACCAACUGGCAAUAAACAGUGAGUGAUGCACUGCAGUGUAUGAAGGUUUGCCAAUUUUUGAUAGAGCAGCCCAGUAACUCAGCUGGAGAUUCUCCUGAGAGGACUACAAUAAGAAUUGUUUUAUGGAGAUGAGGGAACAUUCCAAGAAGGCUCCAUGAAAACUCUGGGACUUGAGGCAGCCUUUGAAAGCUGAGUGAAUUAUAUAAAACCCAUGCCCAAAUGCUACUUCCCAUGGUUGAAAGAAGUUGGGGUUUAGGACUGGGCACAUCUGGGUUCUAUCCUUGGCCUACCAUAUGCCAGCUUAGUAACUGGGUGCAAUUUUACUUAGCCUCCUCUGAGACUCAGUUUCCUCAACUUUAUGCUACUGAUCAAACCAACUGUGCAGAGUUCUCAUGAAUAAUGAGAUACACAAGAUACAUUUUUUUUUAUUGUCUGGCAAAUAGGUGCUCAACAAAUGUAAGAUAUUUUUAUUAGCUAGAAUUUGUGUAGAAGGUAUGUGAGUUAGAAUUUAAUCUCUUACCUAGGGCUUAAUUAAAUCUGCAAUUUGUAGGCAUCAAUGGACACGCAAUUUGAAGCCAUCUUGAAAGCACGGGUGAAAAUACACUGUAUGAAAAGCUCUGGAGCCAUCAGGACUUCACAAGUACAACAGAGCAUCCCAUGACAACAGAGCCAACUUGGAAGUACUGUUCAUUGCCAUCGCAGAUUAAUUAUCAACUCCACUGCCUGCUCUUCAAGACUUGGGACCUUCAGAAAUGAAUCAAAUAUUAGAAAAUAUAAAGUUGGCUUCUGUUUACACCCCUGCUCAUUUCUACCUCUGUGGAUUGGAAGAUAAGAAAGCCAAAUUUCUUGCUCCCCAGGGUACCACUGAAGAUUCAUAUCCAUGGAACAGAGUCCAAUUAUAACAUUUCCUGAGAUUCUGAAAGUCUUAUGUGAUCAAGCUGAGAUUUUUUUGAUUGGGAUUGAGCUCCAUUAACCUUUCUCAAAGAGAAGGAAUCUUUUUGCACUGUGCUAAGGGACUCUACCCAUAUAAGUCAGCAUGUGACUUGCCAGAAUUUGAAAAGAAAAACCUGGCCUGGACUUAUGAAAGGGGCAUUGGAUCCUAAUUCUUCAGGCUGCUGCUUCUCCUGGCAACCUUUAAAGGAUAAUGUGGGACUGUGCUGAUACCAUCCGGGUGAAGGACAGCUUCAUUUCUAUUUAAAUUUACAUCUGUUGCAAACUCACAUCACAAUUAAAUGUGUUUCUUAGGUAUCUUACUAAAAUUGAGGCUCUUUGGCUCUUAUGUAAAUUUUCCAUUACGUAGAUGUUAAGGAAUGAGAAAAUCCAAAUUCUGGUGUACAAUCUAUUUUGGCAAGUAUUUAAAAAUUUCUGAGCCUGUUAAUUCCUCUGCAAACCAAACACUUUUGACUAGAUUCAAUUUUUUUUUUAAAUGUGGCACUUUGGCAACAUGGUAAAGUUUUUAUAUUCAUAGGCUAAAUAUAGA
ensembl:lncRNA